GUGCCAACCAAACAAAUAAAUUUUAUAUCAUUAAAUAUUUUAUCAUAAACAAUAUUUCGUAGAUCUUUUUCUAGUGCGAUAAAUCAUUCUUCAUUGCAUGGUAUUUGUCCAUUCUCUAAGUUCUUGCACUCCAAGGAUCUUGUUCAGCAUCAAAACGAACACAAUCACAUUUGUAUCUAACACACUUUGCGACUCGAGGAAGCACACACUUAAUUUGAUUUUCACAUUCAGAGUCAAUAUGACAUUGAAAAUGUGCUGUAAUAAAACAAAAAUAAGAAUGUUACUAAUUAAAGGGUAUAUAACGUUUAGGUAAGAAGUAAAGAAAAAGAAAACUUAAAUGAAUAAAAAAAAGGUUUACCUUCAACGUUCAUUACAGCAAGAAAUAGAGCAAGAAAGUGGACGAUAACAUAAACAAACUUCAGACGUUUAUCCAUAUAUUCCCCCC
rnacentral:lncRNA from 1 species